rnacentral:lncRNA from 1 species
GGAGAGCAAAUGUGAGGGUGAGCUGGAGAGUUUCUAGUGGAAGGAUAGGGAUUUUUUGGAGAAGUGAUACCCCGAUUUGGAAGAGAAGGGUAGAAUCUAGGGCACGCUCAAUCCGCUCCAAACAAGGGAGGAGAAGGGGAAGAACUUGAUUCCUAAGGGUCGAUUUGAGGUGUAAGGGGUGAUGGGAGAAGAGUCUUAGGGGAAGGACUUGGGUUUGGAGAAGAAGAAAAGGGGACCUAUGGCUUGG